rnacentral:rRNA from 1 species
AGUGAACGCUGGCGGUAGGCCUAACACAUGCAAGUCGAACGGCAGCACAGUAAGAGCUUGCUCUUACGGGUGGCGAGUGGCGGACGGGUGAGGAAUACAUCGGAAUCUACUUUUUCGUGGGGGAUAACGUAGGGAAACUUACGCUAAUACCGCAUACGACCUACGGGUGAAAGCAGGGGAUCUUCGGACCUUGCGCGAUUGAAUUAGCCGAUGUCGGAUUAGCUAGUUGGCGGGGUAAAGGCCCACCAAGGCGACGAUCCGUAGCUGGUCUGAGAGGAUGAUCAGCCACACUGGAACUGAGACACGGUCCAGACUCCUACGGGAGGCAGCAGUGGGGAAUAUUGGACAAUAGGCGCAAGCCUGAUCCAGCCAUACCGCGUGGGUGAAGAAGGCCUUCGGGUUGUAAAGCCCUUUUGUUGGGAAAGAAAAGCAGCAGGUUAAUACCCCGCUGUUCUGACGGUACCCAAAGAAUAAGCACCGGCUAACUUCGUG